ACGCCAGUUGACUCAAUGACAGACUUUAUGAUACAGCGCGCACACGCACCAUUCAGCCCCCCCCCCCCUGCAGAAUUGUAGUCCAUUAACAUGCAUACAGUCCAUAAACUCAGGAUUGGUGUAGAAAAAAAGAAGAUGAUAUGUUGCUCGGAUGGGACGAUAAGGCAUUGGCAGCACGUUAAAGAUCCCAUGACAGUUGAAAUUCGAAAAUAGAUUAAGCCGUAGGCAAAAGUUCCUGCAUAGCACACUGCCUGUCCAAUUAUAACAACACCCAGACCUUGUCUGACGAUGAAACAUUUGACAACAAAAUUAUUAAUUGUCAUGGCUAAAAUAAAUCCUAUGUAUCGAUGUCAACGGAUAUGACGUAACAGUGGGCCUAUUUAUAUGUCAUAGGAAGACAUCUUAUGCUUUGAAUUGGGGACAUUUAUAAUGUACAAGAUGUCAGUCAAAUAAUGAUGUAACAUUAUAACAUAAGAUUAUACUCGUAUACCACAGUACGCUAGUAUAUACAAUGAUUGAUGAUUUCAAGUUAUUAUAAAUACUGACUUUAUUCUACUGAUAGUCAAAACAUCUUCUGUCUUUCUACAGUAACGCAUCUUCUUACAUUAAACAAAGCUAUCAAAAUGAUGAAAGUUAUUCUUGCCGUUGCCUGUUUGGUUGCUGUAGCAUCAGCUGGUAUUGUUCCAGCACCAUUCCUCGGUGGUAUUCCACCAAUGGGUAUGCUUCCUCCAUUCGGUGGCAUCCCUCCCUUCGGACUAGGUCCUUUCGGUAUGGGACCAUUCGGUAUGGGACCAUUUGGUGGAUUUGGAUUAGGAGGAUUCAACAGAUUUGGUAUGAUGGGUGGACUUGGAUUUGGUGGUCUUGGUGGAUUUGGUUUGGGCGCUGGAAUGUGGUUUUAAAGUCAAGGAAAUAUUUAUAUUAAAAUCCCGGUGCACAGAUUUUUCCCAAAAUUUAUUUUUAUAAAUAAAUUUUUUCGUUUAACAA